rnacentral:rRNA from 1 species
CAGCAGCCGCGGGAACACAGAGGGUGCGAGCGUUAAUCGGAUUUACUGGGCGUAAAGCGUGCGUAGGCGGCUUUUUAAGUCGGAUGUGAAAUCCCUGAGCUUAACUUAGGAAUUGCAUUCGAUACUGGGAAGCUAGAGUAUGGGAGAGGAUGGUAGAAUUCCAGGUGUAGCGGUGAAAUGCGUAGAGAUCUGGAGGAAUACCGAUGGCGAAGGCAGCCAUCUGGCCUAAUACUGACGCUGAGGUACGAAAGCAUGGGGAGCAAACAGGAUUAGAGACCCGCGUAGUCCCUGUCUCUUAUAU